rnacentral:rRNA from 1 species
AGUCGUGGGGCAGCAGGGGCGUAGCAAUACGCUCGCUGGCGACCGGCAAACGGGUGCGGAACACGUACACAACCUUCCUUUAAGUGGGGAAUAGCCCGGGGAAACCCGGAUUAAUACCCCGUAAUAUAAUGAAGUGGCAUCGCUUUAUUAUUAUAGCUCCGGCGCUUGAAGAUGGGUGUGCGACUGAUUAGGCAGUUGGCGGGGUAACGGCCCACCAAACCUACGAUCAGUAACUGGUGUGAGAGCACGACCAGUCACACGGGCACUGAGACACGGGCCCGACUCCUACGGGAGGCAGCAGUAAGGAAUAUUGGUCAAUGGACGCAAGUCUGAACCAGCCAUGCCGCGUGGAGGAUGAAGGUCCUCUGGAUUGUAAACUUCUUUUAUCUGGGAAGAAAUCCACGAAUUCUUUUGUGGUUGACGGUACCAGAUGAAUAAGCACCGGCUAACUCCGUGCCAGCAGCCGCGGUAAUACGGAGGGUGCAAGCGUUAUCCGGAUUCACUGGGUUUAAAGGGUGCGUAGGUGGGUUGGUAAGUCAGUGGUGAAAUCUCCAGGCUUAACUUGGAAACUGCCAUUGAUACUAUCAAUCUUGAAUACCGUGGAGGUCAGCGGAAUAUGUCAUGUAGCGGUGAAAUGCUUAGAUAUGACAUAGAACACCAAUUGCGAAGGCAGCUGGCUACACGAAUAUUGACACUGAUGCACGAAAGCGUGGGGAUCAAACAGGAUUAGAUACCCUGGCAGUCCACGCCCUAAACGAUGGAUACUCGACAUACCGCAUAUACUGUGUGUGUCUGAGCG